rnacentral:lncRNA from 1 species
AUCAAGAGUUGAUCAAGGAUCGAAUCAAGGAGGCUUGGAACCAAUUCAAGAGUUGAAGACCAGUUGAUCGAUUGACGUGCAUGUGCUUGUAAUACGACCUAACUAGAAUCCAUGAUCAUCACCUAUUUAAAGUUUAGCUUUAAUUAUUGCUGCGAUUAUAACUGCCUGCAAUGUGCCGUUUGCAUGUGAUGUGAAUGUGAGUCGGGUAGAUAGGUUUACAUGUGAUGUAGCAAACCCAAUUGAGACCUAAAUCAAAACCUCCUCAAUCAAGUCGAGAGUGAACCGACAUGAGCAAGUCAUAUUANN